CUGACCUCAACAUCCAGGAGAUCAUGACGUGAGUGCCCCCUCCCCACAUCACACCCAAUCCCUGUACCUACACAUGGCAGUGACCUUGGAAGUACAUGUUCCAGCUGGGCCCACCAUGCUUCUUCCUUCCACAGAGUUCCCCCGCCAUCCAUCACAGGCAGAGUGUCCCGGGCAGCUGUGAAGGCUGCUUUCUUUGGUCUGCUGGGCUACAGCCUGUACUGGAUGGGCCGUCGAACCGUGAACCUGGUCCUAUCACUGCCUGCUGCGCAGUUCUGCCUCCAGAGGGUGAGCGAGGCCCGGCCAGGUCGGUAGGAGGACCGUGCACGGAAGGACCGCACCCGGAGCUCUACUCCUCUACAUGGUGUCUGGUGCUCCCGAGGAGCUGGCACCGCCUGUCUGGGGAUGUCCCUGGGUACAGAUUUGUCCAAGCCACCCCCUAUGGGGGCCUAGGCCAGGAUUUCCUGCCUUCCCCAUGCCCAGCCCACCCAAAUAAAGAAUAUUUAACUGUCUG
rnacentral:lncRNA from 1 species